GUCAAAUCAUCAUGCCCCUUAUGACCUGGGCUACACACGUGCUACAAUGGCAAGUACAACGAGCAGCUAACCCGUAAGGGCACGCGAAUCUCUUAAAACUUGUCUCAGUUCGGAUUGUGGGCUGCAACUCGCCCACAUGAAGUCGGAAUCGCUAGUAAUCGCGGAUCAGCACGCCGCGGUGAAUACGUUCCC
rnacentral:rRNA from 1 species